rnacentral:rRNA from 1 species
GUAGGGAAUCUUGCACAAUCGACGAAAGUCUGAUGCAGCAACGCCGCGUGUGCGAUGAAGGCCUUCGGGUUGUAAAGCACUUUUCUGAGGGAAGAGAAAGGACGGUACCUCAGGAAUAAGUCUCGGCUAACUACGUGCCAGCAGCCGCGGUAAUACGUAGGAGGCGAGCGUUAUCCGGAUUUAUUGGGCGUAAAGCGCGUGCAGGUGGUUUGGUAAGUUGGGUAUGAAAUCUUCUGGCUUAACUAGGAGAGGUUGCUCAAAACUGCCAGACUAGAGGACGAUAGAGGAAGGUGGAAUUCCCGGUGUAGUAGUGAAAUGCGUAGAUAUCGGGAGGAACACCAGUGGCGAAGGCGGCCUUCUGGGUCGUUCCUGACACUAAGACGCGAAAGUAUGGGUAGCAAACGGGAUUAGAAACCCUAGUAGUCC